AUCACUUCUCAGCCUUUUGGAUAAGAUCAAGUGUAAUAUCUGUUCUUAUCAAUUUAAUAUAUUAGCAAUGCAAUAGUGUACUACUAACACAAUAGUUUAACUAAU
rnacentral:snRNA from 1 species